rnacentral:rRNA from 1 species
GAUGAACGCUGGCGGCGUGCCUAAUACAUGCAAGUCGAGCGAACAGACGAGGAGCUUGCUCCUCUGACGUUAGCGGCGGACGGGUGAGUAACACGUGGAUAACCUACCUAUAAGACUGGGAUAACUUCGGGAAACCGGAGCUAAUACCGGAUAAUAUAUUGAACCGCAUGGUUCAAUAGUGAAAGACGGUUUUGCUGUGACUUAUAGAUGGAUCCGCGCCGCAUUAGCUAGUUGGUAAGGUAACGGCUUACCAAGGCAACGAUGCGUAGCCGACCUGAGAGGGUGAUCGGCCACACUGGAACUGAGACACGGUCCAGACUCCUACGGGAGGCAGCAGUAGGGAAUCUUCCGCAAUGGGCGAAAGCCUGACGGAGCAACGCCGCGUGAGUGAUGAAGGUCUUCGGAUCGUAAAACUCUGUUAUUAGGGAAGAACAAAUGUGUAAUUAACUCUGCACGUCUUGACGUUACCUACUCAGAAAGCCCCGGCUAACUACGUG